rnacentral:rRNA from 1 species
GAUGAACGCUGGCGGCGUGCCUAAUACAUGCAAGUCGAGCGAACGGACGAGAAGCUUGCUUCUCUGAUGUUAGCGGCGGACGGGUGAGUAACACGUGGAUAACCAACCUAUAAGACUGGGAUAACUUCGGGAAACCGGAGCUAAUACCGGAUAAUAUUUUGAACCGCAUGGUUCAAAAGUGAAAGACGGUCUUGCUGUCACUUAUAGAUGGAUCCGCGCUGCAUUAGCUAGUUGGUAAGGUAACGGCUUACCAAGGCAACGAUGCAUAGCCGACCUGAGAGGGUGAUCGGCCACACUGGAACUGAGACACGGUCCAGACUCCUACGGGAGGCAGCAGUAGGGAAUCUUCCGCAAUGGGCGAAAGCCUGACGGAGCAACGCCGCGUGAGUGAUGAAGGUCUUCGGAUCGUAAAACUCUGUUAUUAGGGAAGAACAUAUGUGUAAGUAACUGUGCACAUCUUGACGGUACCUAAUCAGAAAGCCACGGCUAACUACGUGCCAGCAGCCGCGGUAAUACGUAGGUGGCAAGCGUUAUCCGGAAUUAUUGGGCGUAAAGCGCGCGUAGGCGGUUUUUUAAGUCUGAUGUGAAAGCCCACGGCUCAACCGUGGAGGGUCAUUGGAAACUGGAAAACUUGAGUGCAGAAGAGGAAAGUGGAAUUCCAUGUGUAGCGGUGAAAUGCGCAGAGAUAUGGAGGAACACCAGUGGCGAAGGCGACUUUCUGGUCUGUAACUGACGCUGAUGUGCGAAAGCGUGGGGAUCAAACAGGAUUAGAUACCCUGGUAGUCCACGCCGUAAACGAUGAGUGCUAAGUGUUAGGGGGUUUCCGCCCCUUAGUGCUGCAGCUAACGCAUUAAGCACUCCGCCUGGGGAGUACGACCGCAAGGUUGAAACUCAAAGGAAUUGACGGGGACCCGCACAAGCGGUGGAGCAUGUGGUUUAAUUCGAAGCAACGCGAAGAACCUUACCAAAUCCUGACAUCCUUUGACAACUCUAGAGAUAGAGCUUUCCCCUUCGGGGGACAAAGUGACAGGUGGUGCAUGGUUGUCGUCAGCUCGUGUCGUGAGAUGUUGGGUUAAGUCCCGCAACGAGCGCAACCCUUAAGCUUAGUUGCCAUCAUUAAGUUGGGCACUCUAAGUUGACUGCCGGUGACAAACCGGAGGAAGGUGGGGAUGACGUCAAAUCAUCAUGCCCCUUAUGAUUUGGGCUACACACGUGCUACAAUGGACAAUACAAAGGGCAGCGAAACCGUGAGGUCAAGCAAAUCCCAUAAAGUUGUUCUCAGUUCGGAUUGUAGUCUGCAACUCGACUACAUGAAGCUGGAAUCGCUAGUAAUCGUAGAUCAGCAUGCUACGGUGAAUACGUUCCCGGGUCU